GAUGAACGCUGGCGGCGUGCCUAAUACAUGCAAGUCGAGCGAACGGACGAGAAGCUUGCUUCUCUGAUGUUAGCGGCGGACGGGUGAGUAACACGUGUAUAACCUACCUAUAAUACGGGUAUAACUUCGGGAAACCGGAGCUAAUACCGUAUAAUAUUUUGAUCCGCAUGGUUCAAAAGUGAAAUACGGUCUUGCUGUCACUUAUAGAUGGAUCCGCGCUGCAUUAGCUAGUUGUUAAGGUAACGGCUUACCAAGGCAAGGAUGCAUAGCCGACCUGAGAGGGUGGUCGGCCACACUGGAACUGGAACAGGGACCAGACUACUAAGGGAGGCAGCAGUAGGGAAUCUUCCGCAGUGGGCGAAAGCAUGACGGAGCAACGCCGCGUGAGUGAUGACGGUCUUCGGAUCGUAAAACUCUGUUAUUAGGGAAGAACAUAUGUGUAAGUAACUGUGCACAUCUUGACGGUACCUAAUAAGAAAGCCACGGCUAACUACGUG
rnacentral:rRNA from 1 species